AUGGGAAAGGAUGUGAUCUUAUAUGCCAUAUUGAGAGAUCAUCAUGUGGCUAAGGGAACAAUUAUUUCAACUAAUCUAAGCUCAGUGCUAGGAGGAGUUGCUCUAGGAAAGCAAUAUUGUGAGGUUGUUGUGAAUGUUGUGCUGAAAAGGGAUGCCCUUCUACCUCGCCCAUAUGGUUAUUUGGAGGAGAUGGGUGAUGCUGAUCGGAUGUCGAUCGCAUGGCCGUACAAGAGACUAAAGGUGAGCAAGACAUCAAAAUCAUCCCAGAGUGCUACAGGAGGGAGGUCCUAGAGGUAGUAAGUCACUUGUUUACUCCAUGAUGACAAUAGCAAGCAGAUCGCGGUGGUGCCUAUGGAUGCUACAACAAGAAA